AGUGCCCGUACCGCAAACCGACACAGGUAGACGGGAAGAGAAUUCUAAGGCGCGCGAGAGAACCCUUGUUAAGGAACUCGGCAAAAUGACCCCGUAACUUCGGGAGAAGGGGUACCCUUUAGUGAUAGCUAGAGGGUCGAAGUGAAAAGAUCCAAGCGACUGUUUAUCAAAAACACAGGUCUCUGCUAAGUCGUAAGACGAAGUAUAGGGGCUGACGCCUGCCCGGUGCUGGAAGGUCAAGGAGAAGGCUUAGUACUUAUGUACGAAGGUCUGAACCUAAGCCCCAGUAAACGGCGGCCGUAACUAUAACGGUCCUAAGGUAGCGAAAUUCCUUGUCGGGUAAGUUCCGACCUGCACGAAUGGCGUAACGACUUGGAUGCUGUCUCAACAAGGGACUCGGUGAAAUUAAAUUGCCUGUGAAGAUGCAGGCUACCUGCGACAGGACGGAAAGACCCCGUGGAGCUUUACUGCAGCCUGAUAUUGGGUUUUGGUGUAGAAUGUACAGGAUAGGUGGGAGGC
rnacentral:rRNA from 1 species